rnacentral:pre_miRNA from 1 species
CAGAGCUGUGGAGUGUGACAAUGGUGUUUGUGUCCAAUCUAUCAAACGCCAUUAUCACACUAAAUAGCUACUGGU